UUUUUUUUUAAUUAUAGAUAGACAAAAUACCUUUAUUUUAUUUAUUUAUUUUUAUGUGGUGCUGAGGAUCAAACCCAGGGCCUCACACAUGCUAGGCAAGUGCUCUACCACUGAGCCACAACCCCAGCCCAUAGUGUGUUUUCUUACAAAUAGUAAUUUAUUAUCUUUUUCUUAUUUGAUUAUUAGUAGGUUUUUAUUUGCUUCGUUUUUGCAGUACUGGGGAUUGAACCCAGUGCCUCCUGCAUACAAGCAAGGGCUCUACCACACUGGGCUAUCACCUCAGACCAUCAGCAGAUUUUGAGUCUGUAUAAUAUGAGUCUUCUGUAAAAUGAUGUGAAAAUCAAAUAUUACUUACUUUGUGAGGAACUGGGGAUUGAACUCAGGGGCUCUCUGAUACUGAGCUACACCCUCAUCCUUUUUUAAAAAAAUUUUUUUCAGACAGGGUCUUAUUAAGUUGCCCAGAUUGGCUUUGAACUUGUGAUAUUCCUGGCCCAGCCUCUCGAGUUGCUGGGAUUACAAGUGUUUACCACUGCACCCAGCUAAAUAUGACUUCUUGAUUUUAAAUUUUACAGAUUAUUGUAAAACAGGAAAAAUUGAUUUUCACUUAUUAUUUGCAUGUUUACAUAAACUCCCUUUAAGAAAAAUUGUAAUUGGGCUGGGGAUGUGGCUCAAGCGGUAGCGCGCUCACCUGGCGGGCGUGCGGCCCGGGUUCGAUCCUCAGCACCACAUACAAACAAAGAUGUUGUGUCCGCCGAAAACUAAAAAAUAAAUAUUAAAAAAUUAUUAAAAAAAUUUAAAAAAAAAUUGUAAUAAAAUUUACAGUACACAAUUUUUAUCGUUUGUAGCCAAAAAAAUUCAUAAGGACUAAUGUUUCAGAUAUUGUUUAACAAGUGUAUUUCUUUUUACAGAUGCCAUUACUGUUCACUUUUUUGAGAUUUACUUGAACACUAUGUAAGAAAACAAUCCACUGUGUCUUCAUGCCUUCUAUAACAGAGUCUAGGGUCAGCAAGACUGCCUUAAUCAUAUACUUGGGAGCAUGAACAGUAAACAUUGUUAAUUUUGUUGUUAAAAAAGUCUUAUUUAAGAAUUCUUUGUGGGCUGGGGUUGUGGCUCAGCAGUAGAGCGCUUGCCUAGCACCUGUGAGACUCUGGGUUUGAUCCCCAGCACUACAUAAAAUAAAUCAAUAAAGAUAUUGAG
rnacentral:lncRNA from 1 species